GCCAGGUUAAUAAUUGGACAACUGUGGCACUUUUUCAUGUUGGCAAAACAUUCCCCUUCCCCCCGCUCACAAAUUCCUGACUUGCCUGUGCACAUUGAGCAGUGUGUAAGCUGAGUGGUGGGCCAGGGAACAGAUGAGUGCUCUUUGCUGCUCUCUGGCUAUGUGGUGGCUUGCCGCUUACAAUGAGCCAAAAUCCUUCGUGGAAAUGUUAGCUGGAGGAUACUAAUGUAUGUUAUAGAACAGACCAGAAUUUUCUUUUACAGAGAAUUUUAAAAUGUUCAGUUUUUGCUUCUAACCAGAACAAAGAAACGUUGAAGUCUCUGAAUCCUUUGUAAAGCAGAAUUUCCAUCCUGUGCACAGCUCUAAUAUGGAGGUAUUCUUCUUGACUGCUGCCAUCAGGGAAGAAGCUCUCAAUAUACUUCUCUUCCCCUUCUUUUACACCAGAUCUUCACAGGACAGGAUUGAGCUCUGAAACCUUGCCCGUUGGCACAUUCUUCACACCAGGACAGAGACUUUCCCAGAUUAGAAGGUGGAAAAAGAAGACUUGGGAGGACAUGUUCAGUGAGUUAAUGCAUGCCUCCAAGAGUGACAAGAUGGAGCUCAGAGCAUGGAGGAUUACACUGUCCAAGAACCUAGACAUGGACAGGGAGGACAGGAGAGCAUGCAGGGAACAAGAGCAUGCUAUGCAGGAAGAUAUGAUGCGGAUUAUGAAGGAGCAAUCAGACAUGUUGAGGCAUCUGGUUGAGGUUCAAGGAAGGCAGCUGGAUGCUAGAGUCCCUCUGCAGCCUAUGCUAAACCUGCUGCCAUCACCGCCAAGUUCUGCAUCCUCCUCCCCAAAACAUCCUAUGAGGUGUGUGUGCAUGGGGGGGAAGGUGGGAAAUUGGUAUCCCUUGCACUCAACACCAGGGGAGGGUACAAGGACCAGAAGGUGACCAUUCCCACAUCUGUGAUUGUUAUUGCAGUGCACCUGUAAGUAAGCUUUCCUUGUUUCUCCCCCCACAGAGUUAUAAGUCCUUUUGCCCCAGGUUAUCUUACUUUUCCUUGGUGUCACAUUACUCUGGCUCAUUGCUGAAACUGGUUUUCAAAGCCUCACGGAGAUGCAGAGCCCCUCGAUGUGCUCUUCUUAUUGCCCUGGUGUCUGGCUGCUCAAAAUUGGCUGCCAGGCAAUCUCCCUCAACUGCCCCACACCUCGGCAGAAACUUUUCUCCCUUUGUUUCACAGAUAUUAUGGAGCACACAGCAGACAGUAAUAACAAUGGGGAUAUUGCUUUCACUGAGGUCUAACCUAGUAAGCAAACAGUGCCAGUGACCUUUUAACUGUCCAAAGGCACAUUCUACCACCAUUCUGCAUUUGCUCAGCCUAUGGUUGAACUGGUCCUUACUGCUGCCCAGGCUGCUGGUAUACAGCUUCAUGAGCCCUGGGAGCAAGGAGUAGGCUGGGUCUCCCAGGAUCACGAUUGGCAUUUCAACAUCACCAAUGGUUAUUUUGCAGUCUGGAAAGAAAGUCCCUGCUUGCAGCUUUCUGAACAGACCUGUGUUCCUAAAGAUGCUUGCAUCAUGCACCUUUCCCAACCAUCCCACGUUGAUGUCGGUAAAAUGGCCCCUGUGAUCCAACAGCACUUGCAACACUACUGAGAAGUACCCCUUUAGUUUAUGUACUCCUUGGCAAGGUGGUCUGGUGACAAGAUAGGGAUGUGCGUUCCAUCUAUCACCCCACCGCAAUUAGGGAACCCGAUCACAGCAAAGCCAUCCAGUAUGUCCUGCAUGU